UACGCUACCAAAGUGCUUCCAGGCGCACAGAGCCAGUGAGUCAUUGCAGUGAACGCCCAGGCCCAGAGAGCUGCAGGAAGUGGGUGGAGAUGGGCUGGAUUCCAGCAGGCAGAGACACCUGCACCCUGUCAAAGAGGUCCCUAGCCACCUGAGGGGAAAUCCAGUCUGCAGCCCUAUCUCAACCUGUCUUCCAGUCACCUGGCCAGUAAGACGUCAGCGAUGGUGAGAGUGAUGGCGUGUCUGGAGUGGGGCCUUGACCUGCUGUCCAGAUGGGUUUAGAGAGUCUCUGGCUGGAAGAAGGUGGCGGGCUGUCUUGCUGCUCUGAUGUGCCUGCCAGGAAAGGGAGAGCCGGGUGUGUCCGUGUGUGGCCCGAGUGACUUGGCACCAACUUGUCCCUCAGUCUGAAGACCUCACAGGCCCACUGGGGAUAUCACAUUCCUCUUCUGCUCCAGCUCUGCAUAACAAGGACCAUGCAAAUUUCUUCACUGUGAUCUCGUGACACUGAAAUCAGCUCAGCCAAGUCCGUGGAAAAGCAAUUGGUCACAUCCACCAUUUUGCUUCAUGCAGACCAACCGCCCAGUGCACCCAUCUAUUUUGGUAGAAAUUCACAUUGUUUGAUAAUUGAGAUAUAUGUUUUUUCAGGCAGAGUGUAACUGGCAUUUUAUCAGGGGCUUUUAGCUCAUCAGGAUGGUGUUUGCAGAACCUGACAGAGUGAUAAAUUUUGCUUGUUUUAAUCCUUUCCUUUUUUCCCACCAGAGGUUAAUUGUUUGACAUUCUUUGUUAAACUAACACUUUUGAUGGGUUAAGAAUCAUUAAAGCCACUUAAAUAAACAGACUGUUCAGGUAAGAACAGAAAAACUAGCAUAGCCACAAGCUAUUAACUGGCUGGGUUGGGGCCUGGCCUAUUAGGUGAUUGACAUUCACAGUGACACGGAUUCACUGGGAGAUUUUUUAAAAACCCAUUAACUGCUUAAAAGGAAGUGUUGACUUUCUCUUUCAGGUAGAGGAAGAAAAUUCCCUGAAAUUUUAUCUCACUAAAUUAUU
rnacentral:lncRNA from 1 species